rnacentral:sRNA from 1 species
UCACUGGCUCGCGGUCAGGUACCUGGAGCCAUGGAGACUCCCUGUUGCCAAAUGUUGUGGUUUAAAUCCAGUCUCUGUUUUUCCUUCCUGGAGACCAGGGCUUUCCUGAGACUCAUCCACACACACAGCUCUUCCUUUGUGCUCUGAAGUCAUUUCCUGCAAAGACAGCUCCCCCGGGAGGUCCGAGUCCCGAGGUCAAGCCCUCAGCACCCAGUCUCUUCCUGAAAGCUUAUCUGGCAACUUAGACCUAAGUAUGAGAAACUACCGGAUCAAGUCCAAAGGCUGCUUUGCAAAACCACCAAGGCCGAAAGCAAUGCUUCAAAGGUGCGACACAAACUCACACUACCCAUGUUCUCCAGCUGGGGGAGAUCGAAGGCUGAUGAUGAAGUCUUGUUGGAGGCUCCUCAUUCCGUGGUUGGCUGAAGCCCACGUGUGUCCUCCACCUGAGGCCUGAGCUUUUCCGUAACCUAGAGGCUGGGUUCCAAAAGCAGGGGAAGGAGCAAGAGGGAGAGGAGGAAGGGAGGGGGAGAAUGGGGAGGAGAGAAGAAAAGGAGAAAGCGGGAGAGGGGGAUGGGGCAGAAAAGGAGGGAGCCAGGUUAGAGAUAAGACAAGUGGGACAAAAUAUAGAAAACAGUAGAAACCAUGAAUUAUAAAGAAAACCACUGAUGGCCCAGUCUUCUUCAGAUUAAGGAAUGGGAUUUGACACUUUCUAAAAGCUGAUUUCCUGGAAGAUAAUUUACAUACCAUACAACCUAACCAUUUAAAGUGCAACAUUAUCAUUUUGCUAUGUUCACAGAGGCACAGCAAUUCAUUUAAAACAUCGUCACCAUCCCACACUGAGCUCUUGCUUUCCUUAGCAUGGGCAGUAGCAGUAGUGACUGUCCCCUGGACUGCCCAGGUCUACCUUCUGUCUAUGUACAGUUGCCAGCUCUGUAACGUUGAGAUGUCUCCAAAGCACAGGGUUGUGUUAGGAGCCAUUGUCUCAUCUCACAACGGAUAGAAGUGGGGGUAGGGGGUGAGCGUCUGGUCAGUUGGACCCAACUAUUCAUGCCUAGGAUUAGAGACCAAGGGAAGCUGGCAGCCCUGAGGUCUUCCGCAUUGUCAGAAUUUAGGGAUUUGGGUCCAUUUCUGAGAGACACAAGAAGGUUAAUAUUAAACUUCGGAGUCUGAAGCCUCGGAAGGAGUUAGAGAAGAAAUCUAAUUCCAAGACACUGUCUCGUGCAAAGCACAAGAAAGUUUUCCUUUACCUGUUGAUCUUGAGACUCAAACUGCCUUGGAUAACACCCAACAUAUGGGAAAUGCACAGGAAACCCAUGGGGGUGCAUAUUCUGUAUUCUAUGAUGAAGGCUCAAAACACAGCUUAUUGAGGGUUUUUUGUUUGUUUGUUUGUUUGUUUGUUUGUUUGUUUGUUUUUUGCUGGGAGUGGAGAAGAGAGGAAGACAAAUGUGACUGGAGAUGUAUGAAACGUUCUGUGUUCUGUCUUGGUGUCUCCAGCUAGUUUCUCUGGACUCUAAGUCCUUGCUGAUAUGGUUCCUGUAUUACAUUUUAAGGUCAUGUAUGAUCACAUCCUGUUUCCACUGUCCUGCUGUCUGUCCCCAAGGAUAUGCCAUAAUGAGGGUUUGAGUGUGACAGGACCUUUCAGAGCCUGGCUGUGCUUGAUCUAAGGGUCUAAAAUGCCUGACAAGGUCAUCUAUGAUCUGGAACAGUGCAUUUGAGUUCAUGGUCUCAUGCCAGGUACAAUAAAUGACACAGACUCCCCUUGGAGUGUGCACGGUGGUAAGCAAAUAAGUUGGAUUAUGAAUUACAGACAUAGCCAGUCACGGUGGUGCAUGUCUCUGAUCCCAGCUUUGGAGAUGCAACAAGCGGAUCUCUGCACCACUGAGGCUGACUUCGUCUACAUAGUAAGUUUCAGGUCAUCCAGGGCGAUAUAUAGUGAGACCGUAAUCACCACCACCAACAGAAAGUGAGAAAUUAAAUGGAAGAAACUCAGGAG